AUUGAACGCUGGCGGCAGGCCUAACACAUGCAAGUCGAACGAGUGGCGGACGGGUGAGUAAUGUCUGGGAAACUGCCUGAUGGAGGGGGAUAACUACUGGAAACGGUAGCUACUACCGCAUACCAUCAGAUGUGCCCAGAUGGGAUUAGCUGGUUGGUGGGGUAACGGCUCACCAAGGCGACGCUCCCUAGCUGGUCUGAGAGGAUGACCAGCCACACUGGAACGGGGACACGGUCCAGACUCCUACGGGGGUGAGCAGUGGGGAAUAUUGCCCAAGGGGCGCAAGCCUGAUGCAGCCAUGCCGGGUGUAUGAAGAAGGCCUUCGGGUUGUAAAGUACUUUCAGCGGGGAGGCGUUACCCGCAGAAGAAGCACCGGCUAACUCCGUGCCAGCAGCCGCGGUAAUU
rnacentral:rRNA from 1 species